CCAUGUGUUUAACGGCCGCGGUAUUCCUGACCGCGCGAAGGUAGCGUAAUCACUUGUCUUCUAAAUAAAGACUAGUAUGAACGGCCACACGAGGACUUGACUGUCUCCCCUGUCCAAUCAGUGAAACUGAUCCUCUCGUGCAGAAGCGAGGAUAUACCCAUAAGACGAGAAGACCCUAUGGAGCUUUAAACUCAAUAUUAAUUACCUUUUAACCCCCCUCUAAGGAACUAACAAAUAAUUUUAAAACUUAAUAUUAGUUUUAGGUUGGGGCGACCAUGGAGAAAAAAAUAUCCUCCCUGAUGAUCUUCUAACCAAGAGCCACAGCUCCAAGUAUUAAGAUACUUAACUCCCAUUGACCCAUUUUGUGAUCAACGAACCAAGUUACCCUAGGGAUAACAGCGCAAUCCAUUUCAAGAGUCCCUAUCGACAAAUGGGUUUACGACCUCGAUGUUGGAUCAGGGCAUCCUAGUGGUGCAACCGCUACUAAUGGUUCGUUUGUUCAACGAUUAAAGCCCUACGUG
rnacentral:rRNA from 1 species